AGAAUCAACGCUGGCGGCGUGCCUAACACAUGCAAGUCGCACGAGAAAGGGGCUUCGGCUCUGAGUAAAGUGGCGCACGGGUGAGUAACACGUGAAUUAUCUACCUCCGAGUGGGGAAUAACUGAGAGAAAUCUUAGCUAAUACCGCAUAACACUUACGAGUCAAAGCAGCAAUGCGCUUGGGGAGGAGUUCGCGGCCGAUUAGUUAGUUGGCGGGGUAAUGGCCCACCAAGACGAUGAUCGGUAUCCGGCCUGAGAGGGCGCACGGACACACUGGAACUGAAACACGGUCCAGACUCCUACGGGAGGCAGCAGUGGGGAAUUUUGCGCAAUGGGGGAAACCCUGACGCAGCAACGCCGCGUGGAGGAUGAAAUAUCUUGGUAUGUAAACUCCUUUCGAUGGGGAAGAUUAUGACGGUACCAUAGAAGAAGCCCGGCUAACUCGCGCCAGCAGCCGC
rnacentral:rRNA from 1 species